ACCUAUCCUCCUUGACUACUCGGGUGUGUUCUUUCCUCUCUCUUCUAUCUCUUAUUUUAUGUUUGUUUCUUUCAUUGAGGACAGUGCAUAUUUUAAGUGUGGGGGAGGGAAUACUUUAUUUUCUUUGUUUUUGUUCUUUGUUUUGUUUUGUUUUUGUUUUCUUUCAAAAAAAAAUUGCAUUUUUGUUGAAAGUUUUAGGCUAUAGAAUAAUUUGAGGUUGGUUUGUAGAGACUUGGGAAAAGUUCACAAGAUCGGUAUCGUUUUAACACCUUAAAUCUCCUGAAUAUGAAAAUCAUUUUGAAUACUUG
rnacentral:lncRNA from 1 species